UACAGAGGUCUCAAGCGUUGUUCGGAUUCAUUGGGCGUAAAGGGUGCGUAGGUGGCGGGGGUAAGUCAGGUGUGAAAUUUCGGAGCUUAACUCCGAAACUGCACUUGAUACUGCCUUGCUUGAGGACUGGAGAGGAGACUGGAAUUCACGGUGUAGCAGUGAAAUGCGUAGAGAUCGUGAGGAAGACCAGUGGCGAAGGCGGGUCUCUGGACAGUUCCCUGACGCUGAGGCACGAAGGUCAGGGGAGCAAACGGG
rnacentral:rRNA from 1 species